ACUCAAAUGAAUAGACGGGGGCCCGCACAAGCGGUGGAGCAUGUGGUUCAAUUCGAAGCAACGCGCAGAACCUUACCAGCCCUUGACAUGUCCCGUAUGAGUACCAGAGAUGGAACUCUUCAGUUCGGCUGGCGGGAACACAGGUGCUGCAUGGCUGUCGUCAGCUCGUGUCGUGAGAUGUUGGGUUAAGUCCCGCAACGAGCGCAACCCUCGCCCUUAGUUGCCAUCAUUUAGUUGGGCACUCUAAGGGGACUGCCGGUGAUAAGCCGCGAGGAAGGUGGGGAUGACGUCAAGUCCUCAUGGCCCUUACGGGCUGGGCUACACACGUGCUACAAUGGCGGUGACAAAGGGACGCAAUGGGGAAACCCUGCGCAAAUCUCAAAAAGCCGUCUCAGUUCGGAUUGUGCUCUGCAACUCGAGCACAUGAAGUUGGAAUCGCUAGUAAUCGCAGAUCAGCACGCUGCGGUGAAUACGUUCCCGGGCCUUGUACACACCGCCCGU
rnacentral:rRNA from 1 species